GCCGAUUGGCUGGCCAGGGGAUGACAUGGCUGGGGAUUCCCUCAAUCGCGCGGAGGCUGAGAGCCAGCCCCCGCACACGUGGAGAGGGUGUAAAGCCCGCAACUCCACCUCCUCUCCAGUUCGGAAGUGGCUUUCCCCCAAUAAGUACGUAUGCUGCUCAGGGGUGUAGCUUUUUUCUAAAGACCCAACUUCAGAGUUCCUCCCUCUUCUAAGCCAGCUGCAAGUGUCAAGAAGAUUAUCAGUAAUUUAUGAAAAAAUAUCUAUAAAACACAAACACCUCACAUUAAUAAUGCUAAUCUGGCAUUGGGCUUAAUUCUUUGCUUGGUAAUAGGAGUAUUGCAAGCUUUCUCAUGCAGCUGGUGUGUAGAACUUCCAGCUCUUCAGGCCAGUCUUGGCCCACCAGGGGAAUUCAAGUUACCUGUGAUGCUAUUUUCCAAAAAUCACACCCACCCACCCAUCAACAGACAUCCCUCCUAACUAGCCAUACUGACUGGGACUGGUGGAAGUAGGAUCCAACAAAAUCUGGAGAGAAACACAUUGGCUACUCCUGGUGUAAACAGUACUGAGUUGAUGGACCACUUAUCUGAUUAUGUCUAAGGAGCUUCCUAUACUGCCCCUUUCUGCUCUAUGGUUCCCUUCUUGAGAUGGAUGCAACAAUAUGCGGUAGGGAAGGGCCAAAGCUCAGUGUCUGAGCAUCUGCUCUGCACCCCUGGUAUCCAGGUUCAAUCCCCAACUUCUCCACACAGGACUGGAGGAGCAUCCCUGUCUGAAAUCCUGGCUAGCCACUGCCAGUCAUGUAGACAAUACUGAAUUCGGUGGACCAAUGGUCUGACUCAGUAUAAGGUAGUUUCCGAUGUUUCUCUGUUUCCUGUUGUUUCUCCACAUCAGUUUCUCUUCAGUGGUGUUGACAUGGCGACUAAUACUGAUGAGACAUCAUUCAUGAAUUGGUCUAAGCCACCUUUGAAAGGCACUUAACUCCUUUACUCAUUCUCUUUGGCUUACCACAAAACUUUUACAUCUGACACAGUUUCAUUUUCUUUUCCAAACUAGUGCUUUUCCAAUGGAUGUUUGGGAAUUCUCUUGCGCCACGAUAAAAUUAAUGGUGCGUGUGUGGCAUAUUAUUUUCAUGAGUCCAAACCCACAGGAGAGAAGUUCAUCAGAACAAUAUGUAACUGGGAAAACUUUGCAAAGCCCGUGGAGAGAAAUCAAGCCAGUAACAGCUUUGGCUGCCAAGCCUGACGGCAGGGUGUGAGUAAUUUGAAAUGAAAAGCUAUAGGAUUUGAAACAUUGCUUGAAAUGUAUGAGACAUGUUGCAAGCUCAACAUGUCUCUCUCAUCUAGAUGCAGGGAGAGAGAGAGGGAGAGAGAGGGAGAUGAACACAGUGUUUGGAAGAAAGCAGAACCAGCCCUAUAAGAUUUGCUGAAAAACACACAAGGAAAACUAUUAGAACCACAUUAUUGGCUGGAUUUUUAAUGGAUCAUUUGACACCCCUGAUGUUCUCUUUUAGCAGCCAGUUUUGGUAUGAGAGUGAGAGUGAGAGAAUGCUAUAAAGUUGCAGUCCUGUGCUCCUCAGGCAUUGGCUUAACUGCUGUGAUGUCACAGAACAUUCUAAAAGGCAAUGGUUGAUCUCAUAAGUGGCCUAAUAAGAGGAGAGGCUGCUAGUUGCUGUGGGGGAAGGCAGGGAAUUAGGGAUGCAUCAGCCUUGAAGAGUCCAGACUAGGGAGGCUUCUAACAUCUGCACAUUGAAUGAAACUGAAUGCUGGAAGAUUCAGGACAGAUAAAAGAAAGUAGCAUGGUUAAACUUUGGUAAUUAUGUUUGGGACUACAACUCCCAUCAUCCCUAGCUAACAGGACCAGUGGUCAGGGAUGAUGGGAAUUGUAGUCCCGAAAUAUCUGGAGGUCCGGUUUUGGGGAUGCCUGAGCUAGAGUAAUGUUGCCAUGCACCUGGAAUUCCCUGGACAUAGCCAGAAUACAGCGGUCUGAAACAGCUAGAGCUCAGGAAGCUAUUGCUGCUCAAGCAGGACUGAAAUAGGGCGUCAUGGAGUAUGAGCCCUGGAACCCUCAGGGAACGAACCAAACAACCCCACAGAUCAAGGACCAGGCAGGGCCCCCUGAAUCCAAUGCUGAUGAUUCACUGGUAAAGCCCUCUGGGUUGUGACCUGGUGAAGAACCCCUGGAACUGUCAGAGAAGGAGAUAAAGGCACCCACUCCCAGUCGUCAAGAGUACCACCACCAAAAUCUUCAGAUACGGGCCGAAGAGCAAUAACAACAGUAUGCAUCUAUGGACCAUGAGUGGUUGGUCUAUGCAUGUGUAAGCAAUCCAUGAUACUCCUCCACUGCCAGGAGCCGUGUUUAGCCUCCCCCUUGAGCCUUCCAGUUGCUGGAAACAACACCGGUCUCUGGCUCCUUGGAGCAGCUUCUAGGUCCUUCUUCUGGCUGAAAUUUACAUUUUAGCUGUUUCUUGAUGAACUGUGUUCAUCUGCAAACCUACCCUUGUUGAUGUUUACUUUGAUUAAGGUGCAUAUCUUCUGUAGCUGGGUCCUUAGCCCCUGAGAGCAUCCCUUGGAGCAGGACAUGAAACAAGAAGCCCUCUUACACAACUGCCAGUUCAGGAGGAUCCAUUGGCCAGCCUGGAUGGGUGGAGUUAGCCCAGGUCUUUGAGAAACUGAACUCAUCAUGCCGGAUCAGCUGUCCGCAGAUCCCCAGUAGCUCCUGACAGAACCAGCAGAACAAAAAAGGAACAGGACGAGGAAAUUCUUCUUAUCCUGACUAGAGAGCCAGUGGAACCGAAGGUGCUUCUUAUGCGGCUGUUCUGAAUGAAAUGUCUUAAUUUCUGAGCACAUCAGAAAAGCACAAUAUAAAUUGAAAGCAUUUCCUUAACUCCAGCAAGAGCAGCUUGACAGUUGCUUCCAUAAACAUCCCAUGAACAUUGUCAAAUUUAUGUCUGAUACGGCCAAUUAUCUACCUUUCCGUGACAGAGGUUCGAGUCAGAGGAAAGGCAAGCAGAAAAAUUCAUUUGAGGCUCUUGCUGCACCAACCUGCUCCACAUUUAGCUUAUUUUAAUGAUCUCCCCCUAUUUACCUUACUGUUUAUUAUUUCAUAUGAUUUUCUUCCCCUUUCCAUUCCUCGGAGAGUAUUAUUAAAUAUAAAGAAUUCACUUAGUUAUGGGCACCAUGUCCAGGCUUAGCCUUAAAAGCUGCAGCUUCCCUUUGAUCUACAAUGUACCAAAAUGUGUGAUUAUGCUAUAAAAAGAUAAUGGUGGGAACAUCAAAGGAACGUUGGGAAGGGGGGCAAAACUCCCGCCAGAUUGGCUUAGUAGCUGCUGAACAGCUUAAGAAUAGUGACAGAACAUGAAGACAACCUGAGUUGAGUCUUUAAUGCAUUUUAAUAGGGGCUCUGCAAAAGUCUGUAACAUUGAUAUCCGUGAAAUAUAGGAUGUUCUGACUUCCCUCGGAAAUCUUAUUUCAAAUGCAAACUGUAUCUGGAAGUCGCAUAUAACAGCCUUAGUGCAUUGGGUGGAACAAAUACUUGGGUAUUCCCAGAAGGAUAAACUUUUGAAUCAUUUCCCCCACCCCCGCCCCAUCCCACUUCCCAUCACUAAGCACCUGCCAUUUUAUUUUCCAGAGUUAGGCAUGGAUUUGAUUUUUGAAGACAAAAAUAAGUCUCCGCUAAGAACAUCAAAAUCUAUUUUGGCCAAAGAAGGAAGUUGCAGGGUUAAUUUGGGCUUACACAUGGUACCUGCAGCUAACUGCCAGAUGUAAUUAAAUGAUACUAUCAUGCCUUUUAUAUAACAGACAAGUGCAGAGCAAUCUCUGAAAGCUCUUUCAAAUGAUCUAUUUGAAUUCCAUCUAUUUUCCCCACCCACAAACUUGAAUAUAAAAAGCCAUGUGUUGUGCAAAUGUAAUUGUGUGAGUUAGAGGCAAAGAAUGAAGAGUCUCCCCAUUUGAGUCCUUGUUUCUUCAAUGUUCUGUCCAGUAUCCCACUUCUGUGCUGUUGUGCUCAGGUGGGUUUCCCAUAGGUAUCUUGUUGCGAGCUUCCCAUAGUCAUCUCUUUGCAGACUUCCCAUCAGAAGUGGAUUUAGGGGAGCACAACUGGUUUGGUCACACUGGGCAGGGAGUCUCUGGGGUGCCACAAAGGGCUCCACAACUAUCAUGUAGAAUGGAAAGUGAGAGACAGGGUGGGCACUGAAUUUUGAUGUCGCACAGGGUGCCACUGAAAUUUGAGACUGCAAAGUCCGCCACUGUUUCCGUUUGGGCAUCUGAUUGGCCAUUGUGAAAACAGGAUACUGGAUGAGAUGGGACACUUGCCUGACCCAGCAGUGCUCCUCAUAUCGCCUUUCUUAUACUCCUGAAUUCUGGCUUGUUGAGGGGCAUCAAUGUCAUUCUGAAGAAGUGCAGCUUUUUUUUUAAAAAUGAUAUUUAUUGAAAAAAAUUUAGAAUUACAAAAGAAAACAAGGUAG